AGUGAACGCUGGCGGUAGGCCUAACACAUGCAAGUCGAACGGCAGCACAGUAAGAGCUUGCUCUUACGGGUGGCGAGUGGCGGACGGGUGAGGAAUACAUCGGAAUCUACUUUUUCGUGGGGGAUAACGUAGGGAAACUUACGCUAAUACCGCAUACGACCUACGGGUGAAAGCAGGGGAUCUUCGGACCUUGCGCGAUUGAAUGAGCCGAUGUCGGAUUAGCUAGUUGGCGGGGUAAAGGCCCACCAAGGCGACGAUCCGUAGCUGGUCUGAGAGGAUGAUCAGCCACACUGGGACUGAGACACGGUCCAGACUCCUACGGGAGGCAGCAGUGGGGAAUAUUGGACAAUGGGCGCAAGCCUGAUCCAGCCAUACCGCGUGGGGGAAGAAGGCCUUCGGGUUGUAAAGCCCUUUUGUUGGGAAAGAAAAGAAGCAGGUUAAUACCCCGCUGUUCUGACGGUACCCAAAGAAUAAGCACCGGCUAACUUCGUGC
rnacentral:rRNA from 1 species